rnacentral:rRNA from 1 species
GACGAACGCUGGCGGCGUGCUUAACACAUGCAAGUCGAACGGAAAGGCCCUGCUUUUGUGGGGUGCUCGAGUGGCGAACGGGUGAGUAACACGUGAGUAACCUGCCCUUGACUUUGGGAUAACUCCAGGAAACUGGGGCGAAUACCGGAUAGGAGCUCCUGCUGCAUGGGGGGGGUUGGAAAGUUUCGGCGGUUGGGGAUGGACUCGCGGCUUAUCAGCUUGUUGGUGGGGUAGUGGCUUACCAAGGCUUUGACGGGUAGCCGGCCUUGGAGGGGGACCGGCCACAUUGGGACUGAGAUACGGCCCAGUCUCCUACGGGAGGCAGCAGUCGGGAAUAUUGCACAAUGGGCGGACGCCUGAUGCGGCAACGCUGCGUGCGGGAUGCCAGCCUUCGGGUUGUAAACCGCUUUCGCAUGUGACGAAGCCUGAGUGACGGUAAUGGGUAAAGAAGCACCGGCUAACUACGUG